rnacentral:rRNA from 1 species
UAAUUCGAAGCAACGCGAAGAACCUUACCAAAUCUUGACAUCCUUUGACCGCUCUAGAGAUAGAGUCUUCCCCUUCGGGGGACAAAGUGACAGGUGGUGCAUGGUUGUCGUCAGCUCGUGUCGUGAGAUGUUGGGUUAAGUCCCGCAACGAGCGCAACCCUUAAGCUUAGUUGCCAUCAUUAAGUUGGGCACUUUAGGUUGACUGCCGGUGACAAACCGGAGGAAGGUGGGGAGGACGUCAAAUCAUCAUGCCCCUUAUGAUUUGGGCUACACACGUGCUACAAUGGAUAAUACAAAGGGCAGGGAAUCCGGGAGGCCAAGCAAAUCCCAUAAAAUUAUUCUCAGUUCGGAUUGUAGUCUGCAACUCGACUACAUGAAGCUGGAAUCGCUAGUAAUCGUAGAUCAGCAUGCUACGGUGAAUACGUUCCCGGGUCUUGUACACCCCGCCC